rnacentral:lncRNA from 1 species
GUUCUCAAUUUAAUUUUAGUAUAAUUUUUAAGUUUCGGAUAUUUUAAAAUAUUUGGUAUUGCAAAUGUAACUUUUGUUUUGCCUUGUAUUCGCUUUGCUUUACUUUCACUUACCUAAAAAAAAAAAAAAAAAGUUUUAAUAAACAAUAACAAAACAAGGAGUAUGUUUAGGAUGGCAUAUUACUAUUCUUGCACUCUUUGCAGUAUGCACAUUUAUUUGUUGUCUCCAUAUGCAUAUGAUACUUGGAUGUCUAACUGCAAUCUACACUCAGACGGUCUAAUUAAUUCACUCCUCUCCCCAGCCUCUAAUCGACUCUGAAGAUGCCGUCCGUUCACAGACGUGUGGCUCUAAUCAAACAUGUUUCUCUGGGAAGAAUGAGUGCUGUCUGGACGCAGUGGACUCUGCAGCACACAUGCUCAGUCCAGCGGGAGCGCUGUGGAAUCUGUCCCAUAAUGCACCAUGGGAAACUCAGGAGAGAGGCUCUUAUUCCGUGUGUGUGUGUGUGUGUGUGUGUGUGUUAUAUGCUAAAUGUCCUUUUUGGACAGAAAUGACAGAAAAGAGUUGAGCUUCAUCCAAAAAAGCAACAUUACGAUCCCUCGAUAACAAUCAAGAUCCCUCGAUUUAGCCAAAGUAUAAGCUAGUAUAUAUAUGUAUGUAUGUGUAUAUAUAUGUAUAUAUGUGUGUCUGUAUCACAAAAUAUAUGAAUAUACAGUAUAUUCAGAUCAAAAUGUGUGUGUAUUUUAUGCUCAUUAUUGCAAUAUCUUAGAUAAUUUUAUCUUAUGAUAAAAUCAAACUUGGACUCAAAUGUAAA